rnacentral:rRNA from 1 species
CGGCGUGCCUAACACAUGCAAGUCGUACGAGAAAGCCGGCUUCGGCUGGUGAGUAAAGUGGCGCACGGGUGAGUAACGCGUGGAUAAUCUGCCCUUAAGUGUGGAAUAACGUACCGAAAGGUGCGCUAAUACCGCAUAAUGCCUGGCAACACAAGUUGUCCGGCCAAAGAAGGCCUCUGUUUACAAGCUUUCGCUUCAGGAUGAGUCCGCGUACCAUUAGCUUGUUGGUGGGGUAAUGGCCUACCAAGGCUGCGAUGGUUAGCUGGUCUGAGAGGAUGAUCAGCCACACUGGAACUGAGACACGGUCCAGACUCCUACGGGAGGCAGCAGUGAGGAAUAUUGCGCAAUGGGGGCAACCCUGACGCAGCAACGCCGCGUGAGUGAGGAAGGUUUUCGGACUGUAAAGCUCUGUCGAGCGGGAAGAAGUGUACCAUGGCUAAUAUCCAUGAUAUUUGAUGGUACCGCUAGAGGAAGCACCGGCUAACUCCGUG